rnacentral:lncRNA from 1 species
AAUAAAAAAGAAUGGUGUGGUAUGAUUGGCAAUAAGAUAACUCUUCACAAGUGAAAUGCCAAAGAAAUUACAAACUAUAGGCUACAUUACAACCUUCAACAAUGAGCGAAGCCCAUACCGCCUAGUCAGCUAUGAAAGUCCCCGAAAUGAUAAAUACACUAGUUAAACAUUUCAAAAGAAUACUAACGGCCUAUUUAAUGUACAUAACAACAAAAAAUUACCAAAUAACAAACAA